rnacentral:lncRNA from 1 species
GUUCCAUCAUGUGUGCUUCAGACAAACUAUGAACAUAGAAAGCACGGAAGGAAGAAAAAAAAGAUGCACACAACCCAGUUACAUACAUCUAAAAUGACACUGGCGUUCUACUGGUAUUCACCAGGUAGGAACUGGGCAAUAAUAGCAUUUGGGUGUCAGCCUCAUGCACAGCGCUCACAAAUGGUCAGUCUCCUGCCUGAGAUAACAAGAGACAUUCAUCCUCUUUGCAGGGUGCACAAAGGCAAGGCUGGAAAAAGGCAGGAGGAAAGCAUUAUGAUGUGAAACAAAGGAACAUCAGCAGUAAUGACUUGCCUACAGUGCUGAAAGCAGGAACUAGAUCAUGACCCUGGAUCCAUGCCUUGCUGGCUCCACCAGCCAUUAAACCUCCAGCAUGAAAGGCAAGUUGUGCUAACAAUGCCUUGCUCCAGCAUGCUCACACACUGGUUCCUAUGACCUGCAACAUUUCCACCAGGCACGAGCUAACACAGAGCUAACACAGCAUUGGGCAGGAGCUGGCUUCAUGCCCACCACAGGGCACCAAGGGGCUGAGGAGCAGUGCUGCUGUGUGACUCCUCCUUAUCUCUCCCAGCUGCCAUCUGAGCUCCCCACAGG